CAAAAGGGGCCAAGAAUAGUACUCUUCAAGUGAAACCAAGGGUCAUAAUGUCAGUAAAAGACGCCAGGGAGUAUCUGUCUAGCAAAUGUGACAAAAAUGAAGAGCUCCGGAAUGAACCUGUUCAAGGAAGUGAUGCUCUUCCAAUGCCACAAAGGGAUAAAAAUGAGAACCAGGUGGAGGAUAUGGCUAACAAUGCAUUUAUGUAUAAACCUGAAGAAAGUGACGAAGAAGUUGAAGGAGACGAAGGGGACAUCAUUGAUGAUGUUCAAAGGCCCCCGUUCUUCAUUAGAUGAUGAAGGUAAUGGUAAGAUUUCAAUGACGGAACUAUCUAAGGAACAAGAGAAUUGGUUCGAAGAAAAUUUUGGUGAAUUUGAGUCCAUAGUUAAGAAGAUUGGAGUUGGUUUUAGAGAUAAUUACAUGGUUUCAAGAAAAGAAGAAGAUCAAGAAUCAAGUACCAACAUAGCAGAGCUUGGAUCUAAUAAAGAUGAUGACAGUGAACUGGAACGGAUGAAAGAUGACAAUCUCAGGGAAAUUGUUUUGCAAGUCCAAGAAAAUGAGCUGGGAGGGUGGGAUCCAUUUUAUAUGAUGGAUGCUGAAGAUAAGGUUGCAUUCUUCAAGGGUCUUGAGAAGAAAGUUGAAAAAGAGAAUCAAAAGCCGUUGAAACUACAUGGGUGGCUCCACUGAAAAAUUGAAAAUCUCGACUAUGGUGUAGAUGGUAUCAGCAUAUAUGACACACCAGAAAAAAUUAUACCACACUGGAAAGGUGCUCCUAUAGAGAAGAGUCCUGAAUUUUUAAAUUAUUUUUAAGAGCAACGGAAGGCAAUUUUUUCUGAUAAUACUGGGAUUUUAUAUCCUGUUCAGAAAGAUGAGAAGUCAAUACCACAAUCCAAUGAGACUAUUCCAAAUUUCUUAUCAGCUAAUGACUCAAGGAAAAAGAAUAAAACAGAUUCCAAGACUGUUAUAGAAGCUAGUGACGGUUCUGUUAUAGCUGGCAAAAAGUCAGGAAGGAAUUUUGGCAACACACAAAGAAAUGGUCCCAGGGAUUUGUGGAAUCCUACAAUGCAGAGACAGACCCAGAAAUUAAAUCCACUAUGAAGGACAUGGUGAAGGAUUUGGAUUGAUGGAUCAUUGAAGAAAUACAGGAAGCUGCAGAGUUUAUGGACAGCAUGCCUGAAAAAAGUAAGCAAUUCAUGGAAAAGAAACUUAGCAAGCUUAAGAGAGAGAUGGAAUUGUUUGGACCACAAGCUGUAGUAAGCAAAUACCGUGAAUAUGCAGAAGUGAAGGAAGAAGAUUAUUUGUGGUGGUUAGAUCUUCCUUCUGUGCUGUGCAUCGAGUUGCACACAAAUUAUAGAUGAAGAACAAAGAAUAGGAUUUUAUUCAUUGGAGAUGGCUGCAGAUCUUGAAUUGGAACCGAAGCUUGGCAAUGGACAUGCCUUUGUUGUUCCCCAGCCACCUAAGGUAAGGAAUUGAUUUGUUUUGAUGCUGACUUUAAUAUUUCAAGUACAUCAUCUUGCAAUUUCCUUUGUUGCAAAUUGCCAUGCAAUUAUGAUCUCAGCAAAUUUUCAUUUGUAAGCUUCCCCUGUAUGUCAAGAAACUGAAGAUAUGAUGCAUUUUGGUUUAAUAUGUUUUGCAGUCGCAAAUUGAGUCACUUUUCUGAGAGUAGGGUCAAUGGUUCCUUUUUUGUUUCCUAUUUAUGUAGAUGAAGGGAAUAAGGGUCCCUGUUGUUUUCUUUUAUACUUUUACUAUUUUUUGUUUAGGAUUAAAUUCAGUUUACCCCCUUAAACUUUAGGGCUAAAAUCAGUUCAGUCCCCAAACUUUCAAAAUGCAUCACCCUAGUCCAAAAUUUGAAUUUAGAUCGAAAUGUGAUGUCAUCUAGUGAGUUGGAGCGGACAUAGUGGCCCAUUUUUCAGCCUUUCACCCUUCAUUUGAGAAAUAGGAAGAGUCGUGGUUUUGCACUAUUGCACUAUUGCACUAUUGUUAGAGCGUUUAUGUUUUUAAUUUUAGGGUGGAAUGUGAAAAUGUCCAUUACACCCUUCUACGGGGUUCAUAGUCUGUAAAAAUGGGCCAACAUGUUUGGCCAACUCAGCUUGUGACGUAAUCAUUGAAGUCAAUUUCGAAAUUUAGACACGACUGAUGAAAACUGAAAGUUCAUGGACUAAACUGAUUAAAAAAAAAAGAUCAGGGACUGAACUAAUUAAAAAAAAAGAUCAGGGACUGAACUGAUUUUAGUUCUAAAAUUUGAGGUGGUAAACUAAAUUUAAUCCUUUUGUUUAUAUUUGUCUCUUUUUCUUUAUCUGUACAAAACUAUUGAAAGUGAUUGGUAUUAUACAAACUAUAAGAUUAUUGCCAGGAUAAGAUGACUUUUUUUUUUUUUUUUUUUGGUCGAAGACAGGAUACUUUUUUAAUUUCUUCAACAAGUAGAUUUACAUACUAAAAAACAAACUAAAUUACAAGAUAAGAACCAAAACAGGUCCAAGAACAAAAAGCAAGCCCCUCAAGCCGAACAAGCCUUAGCCCAGGUACAGAUUGAGCUAUGAGUUUCGUUGGCGUCGCCGUCGCAACCCAGAGUUGACUGCGACACAGAGACGUCACAAAAUCUGCCGUAGAAAGCUUGAAAGCUAGCCAAAUCAAACCAGCGCAGGAAAAGCUACGCAGAACCCAUCCAGAUAAACCCUAAGAUAUCCAUGACCCAAUUUCCAUCACCAUACAAAACAUCAACUAUCACCAACAUCAGAAAACCAGGCAAAAAAUUGCCCGGCCACAAGGUAACCAAAGAAAAAAGAAAAAAGAAAGAGAGAUCGAGAACAGCAUGAGCGGAUUCGCCAACAUGCUGAUAUAUGAUAUACGAUACAACACUGAUAACAAUCGAUGAACAUUCGUUGAACCUGAUGGGUGAGGAUGAUGUGCAUCACAUACACGAAAAUUCUGGAAUUUGGGAAAUGGAGGAAUAGAACAAAGAAAGAUAGGAAAGAACAGAAGAAGAGGAGAGAACAAAGUGGGAGGAUCGGAAAUGGAACAGAAACGAGGAAAAAGUUGAAGAAAGGGGAAGAACUGUGGUGGGAAGAAUUGUAGUCAUCAGAGGAUGGGUAAUCUGAAAUUGAAGGAUUAUGGAGAUUUGGAACAGGGAUUUAGAGAAGGAAAGGAAAAUAAAACCAUGCCUGCCACCGCCGGACAGAGGAACUACCACGAAGGUAGAGGGAUGUACCACGAAGGUAGGGGAAGAUGAAGAGAAGAAAAAAGAAAAGAGGAGAGAGAGAACAGAGGUUCUCCCCUUGAGAUGUGCUUAUAAUCCGCUUCUAGAGUUCAAAGUUUUUAGGAUAAGAUGACUUGAAAAUUACAAUAUAUGUGGUGCUAGUGACAGAAAGAUAUAGUAGUAGAA